AAUGCUUCGUAGGCAACAGCAAAUUGAUGUUUUGGAAACUUCCACAAUGGCUGAAGAACUAUUAUAUGGCCCAGGAAUAGAUGACUCGAUAUGAAUCUCCAAGGACUUAUGAUUGUCACCACAAGGACCUUUUUUUGGAACUGGGUCAACACAGACAGCUAUAACUUUGGAAAUUAAAUUUUUUUUUUUUUGAAAUUUUCGUGACUUCAAGUCAAAACAUUGUAUAAUAAUGCCGUAUUACUACUUUUGUAAAAUAACAUGAUUUAAUAGCAAAAAAAAAAUACUGAAAA